CUGGAGCCCCUUACCGAGCACACUCUAAUAGAUAAUAAAAGAGUGGGGCACUGGGGGACAGGCGCCGGGUGGGGAGAUGUUUGCAAAACCAAGUAGGGAUAAACUGCUGAGUGACCAGACCGAAGCGAGCGUUACCGGCGCUGCAGGGUUUUGCCCACUACUUGGAUGGAAGGAGGAAAAAGUGAUGUGUGAAGAGAGAUGGGGGAAGGGGAGAAACCGGUUGGGCAAGCGGCUGGUUGCCGAGCAUAAUCUAACGAAUUUCAAAAGAAAACGUAAUAAAAACUAGACAAGAAACAAUGUUCGUAGACGAGCAUUCUUAGCUUGGAUUAUUUAAAAGACCACUGCGUUGUAGGCAGAGUGGAAGGGAACUCAGUCGAGGCCAAAGGAACCUUACAAGAGAAGACCAGAAGGAGCAAGAAAGAGAGGCAACUAUGAUCAAUAGUUGUUUUUUUUUUCUUUCUUCUUCUUUUUUUAAUCAAUAGGUUUUGCUUACUCCUCGACUGCUUUUUCUUCCAUCUCUUAAUUAGCAACGAAAAGCAACCAAGUUGUUUGCAUGAUGACGCCAGGGGGGGAAAAGGCCUGACCACUUCCUAGAAGGAAGAAAAGAGGCUUUUUAAAGACACCACCUACAGCUAGAUUUGCAGGGCUUUUCUGCAAAUGAAGAGGAAGGAGAGAAGAACCUUUUAGAAAGAGUCGCUUGAUAAAUAAGUGGCCAAUGGCAGGGGAAUGAUUGUCAAAUAGAGUCAUGAUCCUAAAAAGGAUAAGUGAUCACUCUAAAUGAAAUGAAGUGUUGGUUGCUGGCUUGGAGACAGCAGUGGCCAAUAGUUAAGAGGACAAAGCCAAUUAAGUGAACUCUUGAAAAAUCACCAAAACAUUGAACAGUGAAAUACUUAGAUUGAAAACACUACAAUAUUUGCUGUGGAGAAACAGAACUUUGUGGAUUUAUGAAUGGAAAUGAGAUAUAACGUUCUGGAUUCUUACAAGAGAGCAGAAAGUAUGAGCAAUGAAUUGGUUUCCGAUGUUUGCAACUAUGACCUUAAAUGACAGAACUGAGCAGGACUCAUGGUACGCCCAGCAUCCCUUGCAUGUUGCCUGGAAGGUAUUCCUGGACCACUUGCCUUACCUCAGGAGGUUUCUUGGAAUAGAUUGGAAUUCACUGAUGCGUAUUGGAGCACUGUGAGGCUGGCUUCCGGUUAUUGUUAGGACUGACAUGGCUACAGAAUUUCUCCAAACCUCAUAUCUGCAAACUGCAGGGUGUGCAAUACCUUGUACUUGGUGUCCUUAAGUGAUUGGUAGUAUCUCAAUAAGCACAAGAGAGUUAGCAAAUAGGCCCAAUCUCUUCUCUCUGCAGGCUUCACAGACCCAGACUCUAAUGAACCAUGGCAGCGUCAGAGUGCAGCAGCAUUUUACAGAUAAGGGCACCUGACACAAAAAGACCAGGUAACUUGGUCAGAGUUGCAAAAAUCAUUCGAAGAGCCACAACUAAUUGUCAUGUUUUCUGACCUCCAAACCACUUGACAUGUGUUUUGACACAUAUAUUUCCCAAACAGAUUGACAAAAAUCAUUGUUUAAAUGGCUUAAUUUGAUAAUGCUGGCUGAUGCAUUGCUAUUUGAUAGAAAGUAGAUUUAGCUAUCCAAGAAACACACAGUUGACUUUCUUCCAGGUGCUGCAAGUACAUUUUUAGUAAACUAAUUUAAAAAUCAGUAACAGAAGGCCUAUGAUGAACAUUUUUUUGCUUUUUUUUUUUUGUCAGUUUACAUUUGACUAACCUUUUAUAACACCCAAAUGUAUGGGCAUAAUAAGUUGGUGCUGAGAGGAAAACUUUAUGAACUUCUGAGGACCAUAAAGCAGUUAGAAAAUAAGUUAAUAUUCUGAAGUGCAUUAAUUAAUACUUUUGACUACCCUGACCAGUUAAGAUCCUCAGAGACAUAAACCCCAAUUUUGAAUCCAAUUAAAAUGAUCUCCAUUACUAAAUUAACCCAUGUACAUUCAGAUCUUGAUAUAAAAUGACAUAGUCUCAAGACACCAAUUAAUUAAUCAAACAUGCAAAAAUAUGUCAAGAAAAUUAUUAAUCCUUCUAUUCUGAUGUCAGAUCUCAAAGGUCUUCAAACUUCUUGUAUAUUAGAAGUAUUAUAUACUAUGUCAAUUCUUCUUCUCUUUAUUUAAAAGAUGACACUGAAAAAACAUUUCACCAUAUGUUUGUUUUAGAUGCAGUGAAAAAAUGUUCUUUUCGAAACAUAUGGUGAUGUAAUUAGGUGUCUCUGAACACAGCAAGGUUGGAAAGAGAAAUGUAUGAAAGAAAUUGAAACCAUUUGCUGCUCUGGUGUCACCCACCACCUUCCCCACCAACAUUAGUAUCUUCUCCGAGUUAUCAUUGUUGUAAUAAAGAAAAAUUUUAAGCACUUGAAGAUGAGGAAUGUCUGCUGUCACCUACCAUGGUUAUAGCAGAUAGAAUUCCAGGACUGCCUCUUCUUCCCUCUCACUGUGCAAAGCUAUGUGACUCAUGCUGUCAGUACCUCUUGCUGAGGAGUUUUGGCAUUAAUCCAGCAUCAUUGACAUUUGUGUAAUGUUUUGCAGCCGGGAGUCUGCUUUUAUCUAUGGCUUAGCUACCUUUAUGCAGGCUCGUGGGAUUUAUUUCUACUAAUGGGGAGAGGCCUUGUGUUUCUUUUUCUUCAAUAAAAAUGUUUGUUUAAAAAUA